rnacentral:lncRNA from 1 species
GCCAAACUUCAUUUAAAAAAAAUAAUAAAGGAAGAAGAACUUUAUCAGGUCGUAAUAUACAAACAGAAAAAUAUGAAUUUACCAUGUCAUCUACACUUUAUCAAAUGCUUGAAUUAACUUUCGAAACAAUUUAAAUCUAUUUCUAGCACUACUCUAGAUCACCAUGACCAUGACCUCCUUUGGUUGAUGUGGAUCUGGUUGCUUUGAAUCUCACAAGUGAAACAAACGGAAUGACAAAAAGGAUCCAUAUAACCGAUCCAAACAAUCGGGAAUAAUACUUAACUUCCUUGUUGUAUGCUAAACAAUGUUCUACAUACCCUUGUUCAACGAAAUCCUAAUAACUCUAUAAAUUUACUCGACAAAACAGAAGAAAGAAAAUCAAGAAAUGGAAAUUCUUAGAAGAAUUAAAACAAGGGGUUAAUAACCAAGAAAGAACUAGCUAAUCAAGGUUUACUUCCUGCAAAAUUUGAAGAACCAGAAUCAAAUUUAUUCCCUAUUUUUUCUUUCUUUUUCAAGAAAGGCCACUGCUUAUUCUGUGUAGGAUUUGAAGAACUUGGUGGGCGUUUCCUUAGGCCAUUCAUUUCCACUGCUUUUACAGGCUCUUUCAUUGCUCCACUCUUUACUCCAUUUACACAAAGUGAAGUAACAGAAGAACUUAACAAUUUUCUUGACAAACUUUUAGCUUCGUCACCGGGAUCAUUGAGGCCCCAAGAAGACGUAACAUGAAAAUGCAGAAAAAGAAACCCUAAAAGAAGAACUAGCGUUCUGUGACUGUUUUUCAUACUGAUUAAGAAAGAAAAUGAAAUGGAGAUGGAGAUGCAAAGUGGAGGUCUUGAAGAAGCUUAUAUGAGGACUGAUAAAAGGUUAGGCAUGCUGCUUGUCGGCUGUACCUCGUGCUUCAGACUGACAAAACAUGUGUUUCGUAUAUAUAUAUUGUAUAGGAACCCUGAAAAAGGCAAAUAUGCAGGCCAAGAUUGAUUCAACAGCGUCAAACUUGGGUCUGAAUCUGCAGGUAGAAAAUUUUGUGCUAGUCUAAUUUGAG